AUUACCCGUUGAGAUAACGGUUGAUAUUAUAAAUCGCGGAUUUCUUAACUGAGUUAAUAAUGAACACGGAACUUCGUGAUUUGUCCGCGGUAUUAAUAUUGUAUAGUAAACUUUUUAACUCGUUGAUUUUAUCAAACGUCAUAUUAUUGUCGUUGAAAUCGGUCAUGCAGUCGUGUACACAGAGAUCUAUAAACAUGCAUUUAUAUUUGUCAUUAGACACAGACAGACUGUAUCUUUGAAAGCAGUAAUUAGUAGGUACUUUCAAUAUAGUCAGUGGUGUUUACGUGUAGUAUGGCAGUUACAAUAGACCAUUGAAGUAGGAUUUAUAGGCAUAAUUCAUCGAUCUUGCAAGGAGUCAUUACUCGUUAAAAUCCUUCUAGUACGAACUGUGUAGCAACAUAUGUAGAUCUGCAUUUUUGUGGUAACUACCUAAUUAUGUUAGUUUGUAUCAAAGGUCAAAAUAUAGUCGCUGAUUAUUAUUUUGCAAUCGACCAUCUACGAUCUUCAUAUUACAAUGAAAUGUCAGUAUAUUUGUGUAUUGGAUCAGAAGUACAAUUAGUCAGUAGUUUGGGAAAUAAAGUGAUUUGUUGAAAUCUUUUAUGUCGAGGUUCGGUUCAGUUCGGGAGAAAAUAUGAAAGUUCGGUUCGGUUCGAGUUCGAAAAAAUAAUUUAAAGUUUGGUUCGAUUUAAAAAAUCAGGGUAUAAUACUACUAAAGUAUAAUAUAUACUAAGGUAUAAUAUUACUCCGUACAAAUCAAUCUCUUAUAAAUCUUUUGAAUAAUUUAAAAACAAAUUACAAAGAUACAAAGUACAUUAUAAAUCGGAAACUAAACCAGACUGUUCUGAAAAACAUUUUUAAUUUUGUGAAAGGAAUGUCAAGAGGAGUUAAAUGAUAAUUUCCUCUUGAAUUCAAGUAUAACCUUUGUUGGUAUUUGCUUGGAAAAAAUACCUAUGUUGUAUUUACCGAGAAUCAUAAUACACAAGACUCAUCACUCAUCAGUGUAGGUUUAAAUAGACAACUGUUUAACAAAUGAAACAUUUAAAUUAAUAAUAAUACUACAGUAUGUUGUAGGUGCUGUUGCCAGAAAAUUUAUUGGAAAAUAUCCUGAAUUAGUCAAAACAUCAAAAACAUAUAAUGAUGGAUUCAACUACAAUUGGACUGAAUAUGUAUCUGACGGGAAUUUACUUGAGCCAUCGAUGGACAUGAUUCAAUAUGACAUGUUUAUUGAAAUGGUAUUUAGAGAAUUCUAUGGAACCAAUGAAAUUCAUAAAGGACCUGGUUUAAUGGAUAAAAAAAAUCAACAAAAUACAACAGCUGUAGCAAGACAGCUAUUUUUGCCAGUUGAAAAUAAUUAUGAUAACACAUACCUACCAUCAUUUUAGUAAGAAUAAAGUAGAAAAUUAGUUAACCAAUAAAUCAAAUACAUUUUUUGAAAGGGCUAGCUUUAUCCAACAAGAGGAAAUUACUGAAUAUGAUCAACAACCCAGUCCACAUGAGUCCAACCAUAGUAUGUUGUUUAAUAUCCAAAAUAUCACACAAAAUAAGGAUAAAGAACUGUGUACUGAAUUACUUGAUAUUAAGAAUAUGGAAUUUACAAUAUUUGAGGAUGAAGUGAAUAUUUUAUCUGAAGAAAACCAAAAUACAAAUUCAUACACUGUCAUCACUGUUAAUAACUUAACUAUUUCAGAAUUAAGAAUUGUUAAUGAAACUUCAUUAAAUUCCACGUCUUUGAUGGAAUCAGUAGAUAUUCCACCUAUUAAAUUUAGUAUAGAUCAAGAAUAUUCUGAUCUGAUAAUAGUUAAAAUAGUGGUCGAAAGAGAUAGGAAGUGAACAAGAAAUUAGCUGCUUAACUUGAAAAACAUCAACUAAAAUUAGAUUUUAUAAUAAAUUGUAUACAUGAAGAUAAAAGUUCAUCGUUUUGUAAGGUAUUUGAAAUCAAUUUAGAGGAUAUUGAAAAUUUCAAGUUCAAAUUAUCUUCAGAAACUUUAAAAAUUAAACAAGAUAAGUUUCUUUUAUCAUACAUGUGGAUAGAAAAACCAAAACGAAUCGUCGGGCAAAUUUGUCUAAAAACGAUUGUUUAGUUGUCAAGUAUUUUAUUCCUUUGGAAAAUGAAAAGAUACCUGUUUGUGCAAAAGCAUUUUCUGAUAUAACUGGUAUGACUAGAAGAAAAUUAAAUAUAUUGUCAAAUAGUUUCAAAAAAAUACAUUCAAGUCCAAAAGAAAAAAGAGGUGGUACUUGUAUCACAUUAAUGGAUAUAACUACAACUGUAUCCAUUACUAAUCACAUUCAGCAAUUUAAUGUCAAAAAUGUCACUAUUCUCGUAAAGAUUCAGAUCGAUGUUACUUGCAGCCAUAUCUUUCCCUUAAUAAAAUGUAUCUUCCAUGGACAAUUGAAAUGAAACGCACAGAUCAACCCAUUGCUUCAAUUGGUAAAUACAAAGCCAUAUUUCACAAAAAUUUCAAUCUCAGUUUUGGGCAUCCUCGUUUAGAUGUAUGUAGUUAUUGUACUGAGCUUAAAGAUGAAAUGAAUGCAAUCAUUAUUAAUAAUAUUCAUCACAGACUUCCUCAAAAUAAUAAAAAAAAUUAUAAGAUUUCAGAGAUAUUAUCAAUGGUAGAGCUAUUAAUGAAAGCGGUUUAUUGAAAAAUAUUUAUACGAUGAAGAAGCUCGAAAUAAUAGGGAAGCAUCUGCGCAAUAUCCUUGGUCAACAACCGAAAAAAUUAUGAGAUAUGCCAGAAAAGUGUUACCUAACUCUUUAGAAGCUUUGACUCUUUCAUUUGAUAACGGAGAACUUAAUAAAUUUUCAUGCAUUCAGACAACAUUCUAUAGAGGCUGUGUUCAUUAUGACCAGGAACAUAACAACAUUAUUUUUAUUAUUCCUGAACUAAUAACAUCUGUAUUGGAAGCAGAAGUAGACGAAUUACAUGCUGAUGGCACAUCACAUCAGCAUGUGCCAACUGGGAUUUAAUGCAAAGCAGUUGUUGAUGCUAUAUUGCAUGAUCCAAAACUAUGUAAUAGAUAUAAAAUGUUUUACUUGAAUUGACUUCAUUUUAAAUAUUAUUUUAUACUUAAAAUACUUACCUAAAUUACAAAUUAUAACUUUAUUAAUUCAAUAUACUUUUAUAGUUAUAGUCUAUACCCGUGUGUUAUGUACUUACUACUUACUGCAAGGUUUAAACUUAUGGUUUUUUUUAUACAGUGAAACUUUCAUAUAACUAACUUCCAUUAUACAAAAUUUUCUGUUACGAAAUAUUUUUAAUAAAUAUGACCUUUAUUGUUAAUGUAUACGUAAUUCUAUUUAAUUCCUCCAUAUUACGAAAUUUUUUUGUUGCUUAUUCGACUUUGUUAUAUGGAAGUUUCAUUGUUUUUUAAAAAAUUAAUUUAGGUAUUUUAAUAAAAUUUCAUAAAUACCAAUUUCUUUGAAUGAUUUUUUUCAUGAUUUUAGGUUUUCAAUCAUUUAUUUUUCUAUAAAUUAUUUUUUAACAAAUCUGUUUUCUAUAUUAUUAUAUUUUCAUUUUUCAAAAAAUAAUUUUCCUAAACAUAAUAUUCUAUAUUUUUAUUUUUCAUACAUUUAGAGUUCUUGUCAAUUAAUUUCCUAACAUUUAGCACCUCCCAUAAAAACUUCCAGAAUAUUUUUUGGACCAUCAAUUUUAACUGUUCUAGUGUGAAUUUGUUACUGAAAAAUUAAAUAUUAAGUUUUAUAUAUUUAUUUGGAUUGAAGUUAAGUUAAGUUAAUUAAUUAAUUAAUUAAUUAAUUAUUUUUUUUUAACACUUGGUAAAUAAACUAUUUCUGUCAUUAUAAAAUUAUCAUUCAUCACUUAAUUUCUCUUCACAAAAAAAAAAAAUAAUAAUAAUGUUUAAUACAUAAAUCUAUAUCAAAAUUGUUUUAUAAUAUAGAAUGUAACAGUAAUAAAUAGGGCUUGUAAGUUGAUGCAUUUUUUUUUUUUUUUUUGGAACUUUUUAGACGAUGCUCUCCUAGCUACAAAUGUGUUUCAUUAGUAUGUGAAUCUGCACAACUAAUUUUUAUUUUGUAUUUUUUUUGCAUUUUUUGGUGUUAAUUACUUUUAAGUCAUUUUUUGACAUUUUUAGGUCAUUUUCCCACAUUUUUAGUCAAUUUUACUGAUUUCAUAUUAGUUCCCUUCUUAUCAUUAUGCUGAUAACUUACUUAGAACUUACUUUGAAAUUACCACGGACUAAGAUUAGUACCUAUCCGAUUUUAUCUCAUCGAUUACAGUCGUUGUUGUCGAAAAUUAUUAUUUUCUAAAUGUCGAAAAAAUUUUUAUUUAAUUUUUAAGGACAUUCUUGGUAAUUUUUAUGUCAUAUUUUGAGUAAUUUGUAAGCUUUGAUAAAUGUAUAUAGAAUUGUAUAGUAAAAUAGAGUACAAUUUAAAAAAAAUAUAUUUUUAUUAAUUUAAAACAAAUAUACAUAUAAUUUUUUGAGGUAAUUUUUUAUUAAUGUUUUUGAGGUCAUCAACUUCCGAGCCCUAGUAAUAAAUAAACUAUAAAUCAUAACCACUAUUACCUAUCCCAAUAAAUACUUUAUAUUCAUUUAAAAGAAAUAUUUAUACAUACAUAUUAUAAUGUUAACAUCAUUUUGGACCAAUGAUAUGUCUAAUUGUUAGUUUUUUGAUUCAUCAUACUCAAUUGGCAUCAACUAAUAUUUUUGUUUGUUAUACUACACCUAUCCACAUUUGUAUAUUAUACGCUAUUACAUAUACACACAUUAUAUAUACUUAUAAUAGUUCACAAUUAAUUAUAAUAAUAUUAAAUAGGAAUUUAAUGUUUGAAAUGUACUAAUUUAAUUUUUUUAUGUUUAAUUGAAAAGUUUUUAAUUAUAUAUAUACAAGUAUAUUCAGUAGCUAUUAUAUUAUGUUGCUUGUAUGAUUAUUUAGAAAUUACAAAAAUAAUACAGAUUACAUAUGUACCUACGUUACAUUUAAAAAUUGGAGAAAAUAUUGUUAUUGUUGU